rnacentral:rRNA from 1 species
GGACUACUGGGGUAUCUAAUCCCGUUCGCUACCCUGGCUUUCGCGCCUCAGCGUCAGAAAGGACCCAGCGGACCGCUUUCGCCACCGGCGUUCCUUCCGAUAUCAACGCAUUUCACCGCUCCACCGGAAGUUCCGUCCGCCCCUUGCCCCCUCGAGCCGUGCGGUCCCCCGGGCCCUUUUCCGGUUAAGCCGAAAAAUUUCACCCGAGGCGGACACGGCCGCCUACGCGCCCUUUAAGCCCAGUGAUUCCGAACAACGUUCGCACGGUUCGUCUUACCGCGGCUGCUGGCAC